GACGAACGCUGGCGGCGUGCUUAACACAUGCAAGUCGAGCGAGGUCCUACCGGUGGCAACACCGGGAAAGACCUAGCGGCGAACGGGUGAGUAACACGUGAGGAACCUGCCCCGAAGACC
rnacentral:rRNA from 1 species